UACGUAGGGGGCAAGCGUUGUCCGGAUUUAUUGGGCGUAAAGAGCGUGUAGGCGGCCAGACAGGUCAGCUGUGAAAACUCGAGGCUCAACCUCGAGACGUCGGUUGAAACCGUCUGGCUAGAGUCCGGAAGAGGAGAGUGGAAUUCCCGGUGUAGCGGUGAAAUGCGCAGAUAUCAGGAAGAACACCCGUGGCUAAGGCGGCUCUCUGGGACGGUACUGACGCUGAGACGCGAAAGCGUGGGGAGCGAACAGG
rnacentral:rRNA from 1 species